rnacentral:rRNA from 1 species
GACGUAGGACGCGAGCGUUAUCCGGAUUUACUGGGCGUAAAGCGUCUGUAGGCGGAAGUGUAAGUUGGACGUGAAAGCUCCGGGCUCAACUCGGAGAGGCCGUUCAAUACUGCACAACUAGAGGCCAUCAGAGGGGCGUGGAAUUUCCGGUGUAGUGGUAAAAUGCGCAGAUAUCGGAAGGAACACCAGUGGCGAAGGCGGCGCCCUGGGGUGGGCCUGACGCUAAGAGACGAAAGCUAGGGGAGCGAACAGGAUUAGAUACCCUUGUAGUCCCUGAG